AGGACCCUUUUAAUCCCUUGUCCUGGGAAAAAGGUUGGAAAAUGCUCAGCCCUCAUAAAAGUCGACAAACUUAAAAAUUGAUAAAUAUGGAAAACUUUGUUAACAUGCAUAUUUUAACAAAAGCGAUAGCCCUGCCCAACGGGAACAUUCUUAUGUCCACGUAUCUAGGACAUAUUCGAAUUAAGACGCCACACGAGGCCUCAAUCGACGUGUCUCGCACGGGUGAUUCGCACAUCUCAGUCCCUGCCGGGCCCCUGGUAAGGGUGUCACGGACAGGAAAAAUUUCAGUCAGUCUAGUCAAUCGAGCCGUGACCCAGUUGGAUAGUAAUGGUGACGAAAGUUCUUCAUCGCGUAAGACUGAUGACUAUGCUGGAAGAGGCGCGUUAGGUGACUUAACCAACGUGGCAGAGAUGACUGACACGUCAGCAAAUGGUUCUUUCCACACACUAGGUGAGAGCCUAAACGCAGGAGCGGGAGAAGCACUUGCUGUUUUUUUAAAUAAUCUCAGAGAUAUGACUAAGCGUGCAUCUAGUGGAAAUGAUUUUUGGAACCUGGAGCGGAAUAGUGGGGGUAGGAAUCCUAGCUAUAAUCCUCCAACUCGCCAUCACUCCUUCCGGUCGUGCUGUUAAGCGGUGGUGCGUAGUCUAGUCGGUAUGACCAAUAGUGAAAUCUUAACAAUUUGGACAGAGAGUUGGGCUGCAUAGAUUAUCAAAACAAAAAAUAAAUCAUUAAAUACAAACUGCAUUUGGAAUUCGAUCGACCUAAUUCACUCCAAAUUUGGUGCAAUAAAUACACAGUCCCUAGUUUUUAACCCAUUCAAUCAUUCGUUUUAGUUACAUAAUUCGACUUAUUUUGUAUUUAGUCAUAUGUACAUAUGAUUAAUUUCUUAGAUGAAUAAGAAGGUUGAAAUAUGUACAUAUUGAAAUCCUUUAAUUAAAAAAAAUAUUAACCGCGAUAUACAGAUACCUAUAUUUAGACCUGUGCUCCGACAAAUGACUAGUUUUAGUUAUUGGUACAAUUAUACAUAUUAUGUAUAUUAUUAAUAUGUAACCAUUCAUGAUGUGCAAAGGCUGUUGGCCUGCAAUGAUGAUGCAAUAAAUCAAUUAUUAUUAUUACCUCUA